rnacentral:rRNA from 1 species
GACGAACGCUGGCGGCGUGCUUAACACAUGCAAGUCGAACGGAAAGGCCCUGCUUUUGUGGGGUGCUCGAGUGGCGAACGGGUGAGUAACACGUGAGUAAUCUGCCCUUUACUUUGGGAUAACUUCAGGAAACUGGGGCUAAUACCGGAUAGGAGCUCCUGCUGCAUGGUGGGGGUUGGAAAGUUUCGGCGGUUGGGGAUGGACUCGCGGCUUAUCAGCUUGUUGGUGGGGUAGUGGCUUACCAAGGCUUUGACGGGUAGCCGGCCUGAGAGGGUGACCGGCCACAUUGGGACUGAGAUACGGCCCAGACUCCUACGGGAGGCAGCAGUGGGGAAUAUUGCACAAUGGGCGGAAGCCUGAUGCAGCAACGCCGCGUGCGGGAUGACGGCCUUCGGGUUGUAAACCGCUUUCGCCUGUGACGAAGCGUGAGUGACGGUAAUGGGUAAAGAAGCACCGGCUAACUACGUG